GGAGAGAUAUGGAGCUGGGAUGACCUUCUGAAGUUGUUCUGAGUGGAGAAGAAUGGCCUGGGUCUUUACAUCACCAUGUUGGAUGCAAGCUAAGCCUGAAAGGCCCAAGUGUGCAGCACCUCUACCUGGAAUGUGAUGCUCAGGCAGUGAGAGGCAACAACACAGAGAGCUGGUCAGAAUCAAGGCUCCAUGAAGCCUCAUCUCAGACUUGUUGCAGUGUCACUUCCAUCCCUUGUCCAUUGGCAAAAAAACAGUUUCGCUCUUGUUACCCAGGCUGGAGUGCAAUGGCAAUCUCGGCUCACCGCAACCUCGGCUCACCACAACCUCCGCCUCCUGGGUUCAGGCAAUUCUCCUGCCUCAGCCUCCUGAGUAGCUGGGAUUACAGGCACGCGCCACCAUGUCCAGCUAAUUUUUUGUAUUUUUAGUAGAGACAGGGUUUCACCAUGUUGACCAGGGUUGUCUCGAUCUCUUGACCUCGUGAUCCACCCGCCUCGGCCUCCCGAAAUGCUGGGAUUACAGGCUUGAGCCACAGCACCCAACCCGCUCUUCUUCUUUUUUUAAAUCUCAAAGUGAGUUUAAUAAAAUACAAUCAAUAAAUGCA
rnacentral:lncRNA from 13 species